rnacentral:rRNA from 1 species
AAGCAGAGAUUAAACCUCGUACCUUUUGCAUCAUGACUUAGCUAGCACCCCCAAGCAAAGAGCACCUUUAGUUUGAUACCCCGAAACUAGUGUGAGCUACUCCAAGACAGCCUAUUCAAUAGGGCAAACCCGUCUCUGUGGCAAAAGAGUGGGAAGAGCUUUGAGUAGAGGUGACAGACCUACCGAACUUAGUUAUAGCUGGUUGCCUGAAAACUGGAUAAAAGUUCAGCCUCCCGGCUUCUCCAUUCAUAUACUAUUCUAAACGACUACCCUUAGAUCUAAAAGAAAUCCGCGAGAGUUAUUCUAAGGAGGUACAGCUCCUUUGAACCAAAAUACAAUUUUCUAAGGAGGGUAAAGAUCAUAAUCUUAACCAAGGCAGAAUGUCCUAGUGGGCCUAAAAGCAGCCACCCCCUUCAGAAAGCGUUAAAGCUCAGACAUACCCCCCGCCCCAUAUUCCGAUAACCUAAUCUUAACCCCCUAACCCUAUCAGGCCGUUCCAUGCAGACAUGGAAGCGACAAUGCUAACAUGAGUAAUAAGAGGACUAUACCAAUCUGCGCUCCUCUCCUAGCACACGUGUAUAUCGAAACGGACCAACCACCGAAACUUAACGGCCCCAAACAAAGAGGGAAUUGAAAAACAAACAUGAUAUACUAGAAAAUCACCCAACACACAACCGUUAACCCCACACUGGUGUGCCAAAAGGAAAGACUAAAAGAAAAAGAAGGAACUCGGCAAACACAAGCCUCGCCUGUUUACCAAAAACAUCGCCUCUUGUACAACCACAUUAAAGCAAAUAAGAGGUCCCGCCUGCCCAGUGACAACUGGUUCAACGGCCGCGGUAUUUUGACCGUGCAAAGGUAGCGUAAUCACUUGUCUUUUAAAUGAAGACCUGUAUGAAUGGCAUCACGAGGGCUUAACUGUCUCCUUUUUCUAAGUCAGUGAAAUUGAUCUCCCCGUGCAGAAGCGGGGAUAAAAACAUAAGACGAGAAGACCCUAUGGAGCUUUAGACACCAGAAUAGCGCAUGUUAAGACACCCUAAAUAAAGGACUGAACUUAAUGACCCCUCUAUUCCAAUGUCUUCGGUUGGGGCGACCAUGAGGAACAAAAACCCCUCAUGUGGAAUGGGAGUACCACAACCCACACACUAUUUUUCCUACACUCCUACAACCAAGAGCUACAACUCAAACUAACAGAAAUUCUGACCAACAAUGAUCCGGCAAUACCGAUCAACGGACCAAGUUACCCUAGGGAUAACAGCGCAAUCCCCUUUUAGAGCCCAUAUCGACAAGGGGGUUUACGACCUCGAUGUUGGAUCAGGACAUCCUAAUGGUGCAGCCGCUAUUAAGGGUUC